CCCAAGACUAAAUUCAAACUCAAGACACUUUUACUUUUCCAAGUGGUAGAUCUAAUACGAGCCUCAUUGUGCCUCAAUUCCCGUGUAUCAGAUGAUUGCAAAGGCACUUCACCAUAAGGAAUUCCAUAGGGUCAAGUACAAUUGAAGUUAAGCCUAAUAUUUUGUUAUUUUCAACAUUGAUACUAAAUCAACAACCAUAAA
rnacentral:misc_RNA from 1 species